rnacentral:rRNA from 1 species
UACGAAGGGGGCUAGCGUUGCUCGGAAUUACUGGGCGUAAAGCGCACGUAGGCGGAUUGUUAAGUCGGGGGUGAAAUCCUGGAGCUCAACUCCAGAACUGCCUUCGAUACUGGCGAUCUCGAGUUCGGGAGAGGUGAGUGGAAUUGCGAGUGUAGAGGUGAAAUUCGUAGAUAUUCGCAAGAACACCAGUGGCGAAGGCGGCUCACUGGCCCGGUACUGACGCUGAGGUGCGAAAGCGUGGGGAGCAAACAGG